rnacentral:rRNA from 1 species
UUAAGUGAAUAAGGGCGCACGGUGGAUGCCUUGGCACUAGGAGCCGAUGAAGGACGGGACUAACACCGAUAUGCUUUGGGGAGCUGUACGUAAGCUAUGAUCCAGAGAUUUCCGAAUGGGGGAACCCAACAUCUUUAAUAGGAUGUUACGAUUGUGUGAAUACAUAGCACAUUCGAGGUAGACGCAGAGAACUGAAACAUCUAAGUACCUGCAGGAAGAGAAAGAAAAUUCGAUUCCCUGAGUAGCGGCGAGCGAAACGGGAAAAGCCCAAACCAGCAAGCUUGCUUGUUGGGGUUGUAGGACUCCAAUAUGGUAGUUCUUUCAGAUAGUCGAAUGACUUGGAAAAGUCAGUCAAAGAGGGUAAAAACCCCGUAGACGAAAUGUGGAAGACACCUAGGAGGAUCCUGAGUACGGCGGAACACGAGAAAUUCCGUCGGAAUCCGGGAGGACCAUCUCCCAAGGCUAAAUACUCCCUAGUGACCGAUAGUGAACCAGUACCGUGAGGGAAAGGUGAAAAGCACCCCGGAAGGGGAGUGAAAUAGAACCUGAAACCGUGUGCCUACAACAAGUCAAAGCCCGUUAAUGGGUGAUGGCGUGCCUUUUGUAGAAUGAACCGGCGAGUUACGAUUGCAUGCGAGGUUAAGUUGAAGAGACGGAGCCGCAGCGAAAGCGAGUCUGAAUAGGGCGUUUGAGUAUGUAGUCGUAGACCCGAAACCAUGUGAUCUACCCAUGUCCAGGUUGAAGGUGCGGUAAAACGCACUGGAGGACCGAACCCACGUACGUUGAAAAGUGCGGGGAUGAGGUGUGGGUAGCGGAGAAAUUCCAAACGAACUUGGAGAUAGCUGGUUCUCUCCGAAAUAGCUUUAGGGCUAGCCUCGGAAUUGAGAAUGAUGGAGGUAGAGCACUGUUUGGACUAGGGGCCCAUCUCGGGUUACCGAAUUCAGAUAAACUCCGAAUGCCAUUCAUUCAUAUCCGGGAGUCAGACUGUGAGUGAUAAGAUCCAUAGUCGAAAGGGAAACAGCCCAGACCACCAGCUAAGGUCCCAAAAUAUAUGUUAAGUGGAAAAGGAUGUGGGGUUGCACAGACAACUAGGAUGUUGGCUUAGAAGCAGCCACCAUUUAAAGAGUGCGUAAUAGCUCACUAGUCGAGUGACCCUGCGCCGAAAAUGUACCGGGGCUAAACAUAUUACCGAAGCUGUGGAGUACACCUUUAGGUGUAUUGGUAGGAGAGCGUUCUAAGGGCGUUGAAGGCAGAUCGUGAGGACUGCUGGAGCGCUUAGAAGUGAGAAUGCCGGUAUGAGUAGCGAAAGACAGGUGAGAAUCCUGUCCACCGAAUGACUAAGGUUUCCUGGGGAAGGCUCGUCCGCCCAGGGUUAGUCGGGACCUAAGCCGAGGCCGACAGGCGUAGGCGAUGGAUAACAGGUUGAUAUUCCUGUACCCGUUGUUUUUGUUUGAGCAAUGGAGGGACGCAGGAGGCUAAGGAAUGCAGACGAUCGGAAAUGUCUGUCCAAGCAGUAAGUCUGAAGAGGAGUCAAAUGCUUCUUUUCUUAAGGACAAGCUGUGAUGGGGAGGGAAAUAAUAGUACCGAAGUUCCUGAUGUCACACUGCCGAGAAAAGCUUCUAGUGAGAAAACAGCGGCCCGUACCGCAAACCGACACAGGUAGUCGAGGAGAGAAUCCUAAGGUGAGCGAGAGAACUCUCGUUAAGGAACUCGGCAAAAUGACCCCGUAACUUCGGGAGAAGGGGUGCUGAUCAUACGAUCAGCCGCAGUGAAUAGGCCCAAGCGACUGUUUAUCAAAAACACAGGUCUCUGCAAAAUCGUAAGAUGAAGUAUAGGGGCUGACGCCUGCCCGGUGCUGGAAGGUUAAGAGGAGUGCUUAGCGCAAGCGAAGGUACGAAUUGAAGCCCCAGUAAACGGCGGCCGUAACUAUAACGGUCCUAAGGUAGCGAAAUUCCUUGUCGGGUAAGUUCCGACCCGCACGAAAGGCGUAACGAUUUGGGCACUGUCUCAACGAGAGACUCGGUGAAAUUUUAGUACCUGUGAAGAUGCAGGUUACCCGCGACAGGACGGAAAGACCCCAUGGAGCUUUACUGUAGUUUGAUAUUGAGUGUCUGUACCGCAUGUACAGGAUAGGUAGGAGCCGUAGAAAUCGGAACGCUAGUUUCGAUGGAGGCGCUGGUGGGAUACUACCCCUGCGUUAUGGCCACUCUAACCCGCACCACUAAUCGUGGUGGGAGACAGUGUCAGAUGGGCAGUUUGACUGGGGCGGUCGCCUCCUAAAAGGUAACGGAGGCGCCCAAAGGUUCCCUCAGAAUGGUUGGAAAUCAUUCGAAGAGUGUAAAGGCAGAAGGGAGCUUGACUGCGAGACCAACAAGUCGAGCAGGGACGAAAGUCGGGCUUAGUGAUCCGGUGGUUCCGCAUGGAAGGGCCAUCGCUCAACGGAUAAAAGCUACCCUGGGGAUAACAGGCUUAUCUCCCCCAAGAGUCCACAUCGACGGGGAGGUUUGGCACCUCGAUGUCGG